AACGAACGCUGGCGGCAGGCUUAACACAUGCAAGUCGAGCGCAUCCUUCGGGGUGAGUGGCAGACGGGUGAGUAACGCGUGGGAACGUGCCCUUCAGUUCGGGAUAACCCAGGGAAACUUGGGCUAAUACCGGAUACGUGCGAGAGCAGAAAGAUUUAUCGCUGAAGGAUCGGCCCGCGUCUGAUUAGCUAGUUGGUGGGGUAAUGGCCCACCAAGGCGACGAUCAGUAGCUGGUCUGAGAGGAUGAUCAGCCACAUUGGGACUGCGACACGGCCCAAACUCCUACGGGAGGCAGCAGUGUGGAAGAUUGGACAAUGGGCGCAAGCCUGAUCCAGCCAUGCCGCGUGAGUGAUGAAGGCCUUAGGGUUGUAAAGCUCUUUCGUCCGGGACGAUAAUGACGGUACCGGAAGAAGAAGCCCCGGCUAACUUCGUGCCAGCCGCCGCGGUAA
rnacentral:rRNA from 1 species